AAGGUGGACAAGGGAAGAGGGACAUUCCAGUCCAAGGGACAGCUGGGCAGGGAGGAACAGGACGGCAGAAGACAUUUGAGGCUCUGCAUUUUUCUGCCUUGCGGGGAGCAGGCUAUGUGGAAGACCGACAGGGAGUUCCCGGUCAAGGAUCUUAUGUUUUAAUGGAACAUUCAAAAGCAGUGACAUCAGCAGCUCUACAUUUUAACAGAAUCAUCUGUGUGACACCGUGGACAACAGACUCCAGAGGACUGAGAGAAGCAGCUAAGCCAGAAGGCUCCCAAAAGGAACCAGAAGAGAAAUAAUGAAGAGCUGAAAUAAGGCAGUGGCGAUGGGGAUGAAGACCAGGGAAGAUACACAGACGGACUUCGGAGGAAGCAUAAAACUAGAACCCAACGACCCGACACAUACAGGCGGGACCAGGGAAAGGGUUGCUGGAGAUCCCAAUACUCAUCUAGUCUAGAUAAUGAGUGGGUCUCCAGACAGCGGUCUUGAGAAACACUGAAGCCAUGAACUCCAUAAGCAUCACAUUUCACAGUGAAAAAAUAUGACACACUGCUCUGUUGAAUGACAAGAAAACUAUUGGAAUCAUUCCAGCAAGAAGAAAAAUCUCUGGGGAAACUAUCUGCAAGUGGGACCAGCUAACGAGAUACAGCAGCAGCUUGUUCUAAAACUGUUCAGCAUCACUAGAACCGAGAGGGGGACCUUCUACUACCUUUGACCUUGGGAGGAAGCAUCAUUCUCAAGAGAUUUCCAUCCGUCACCAUCUACUCACUCUUCUCUCUUGGCUGGCCUCUGCAUAUGGGCAAAUGCAAACCAAACUCCGUGAGCUUCCAACAUCAAAGUGACAGUUAUAACCAAGUCGCUGGAGGCUCGAGUUAAAAGGAGAGUCAGAUACUUUCCGACGUCCUUAGAAGGCUAAACUGGUUCAAGGAAAACGAUCAGGAAAUGACCAGAUGUGUGGGCCCUGAGCUGGGCUGCAUCUGCUCCAUUCUGAGAAUAAACCAAACCUAGAUCUUCUCCCACGUGGUUUGACAGGCUUCCUAACUGGUACCUGCUGCUCACUCAGCCCAGACCACAGCUCCAUUAGGCUAACAGCUCUUUCAUUUCCCACUUGCCGGCUGACCACGACCCCAAAGCUAUUAGAAUUCUCCCUCCUUUAGAGCGUGGACUAUAAAGAACGCAGGAUGGCGAAACAGAAAAACGACGUUUGUGUCCCAGAUUCUACACCUGUUCUGCGUGACCUUGAACACACUGCCUCUUUCCAAGGACUCCGUAUCACCAUCUGCAAAAUGGGUAGGUUGGUGGAUGCCCUCGUGAUCCCAGCCUUCUCUCCCGGGUCCCCUCUCGGGGAGGCACCAAAGUAAGCCUCGGCUCCUCCCACGGUCCCCCCAUGCUGUUCGCAUUCCAGGGCACUGCAUCCUUACCUCCCACGCCGAGGUUAACCUUGCGGGGAUCUGGAUCCUCCCGGAAGUCCGCAGUGAGCUUAAAGACCAGAACUGGAGGGGCCUGCGGGACCUGGGCAAAGACUGACGGAGGCGCCAUCGCGACGGGAUCUGCCGAGACGUCGAGCGGGAGCCCAGAGCCGCUCGGUGCAGUGCGGGGCGCGGUGACCGGAGGAGACUCUCACCUUCACCGGCGGGCGGGGACAGCCCGCGGCUUCCAAUGGCCGAACCGCGUCCGGAACUUGGCAACGCGCUUAGCCAAUCACAACCUUCCGGCGAAGAUGGGUUAGGCGGGACAAGUCUCUACUAGCCAAUUCAAGAAGAGGAUCUUAUCGGAGGCUCGUAUGAUGCAACCAGUGCGAUUUACACCGGAGGAGGUGUGGGCGGGGACAAGGGUGAUUGGCAUAGCUUGUUCCAAUCGCUGAGGCUUUUAUUCCUUGGGGUGAUGAGGAUGUUGCGCGUGGCUCGAGUCCCCAGAGGACAGGCUCCUUGCCCUUGUGGCGCCUGGAGACCUGGGGCAGUGGCCCGCCCGUGGGAAUUGCAGAGGACAGGUGUUCCUGUACCUGCUGAGCAGGUGGUUGUACCCGCCAGGCCCCCGCAGUGCUCACGUUCCGGAGCUGGCCAGGCAGGGCUGACAGCCAAGCCCCCGGCAUUUGGGCGCAGAACCCGAGUGGUCCGCCUGGACACGCUGUAUCCGAGCCUGGGUGACCUUGACCAUCUCCACUCAGUGCUUCCCCAGAAAGAAACCUGGGAGUGCUUUCUGCCUUGAGCGCUGGCAGGGGGGACCCUGCAGAAAGUAAGGGAUGAGCGCAUGCUAGUUUGAGAAUUUUACUCCCCGGUAACUUACAGAAAGGGGGGGCCUGGUCCUCAAGGACCUUGAAGGAUCUGGCGAGGCCUCCCACGUGUACUGUCAUCGAUUGGCUGAUACCCAAGCUACUGCUGCUUUUUGUCAGGCGGCUCCUUCCCCCGAGACUAUUUCUGCCCAGAUCCUUUCUCCACUGGUUGACCUUGAAGAUUCCGUCUGUCAGCCCUCCAUAAAACCUUUCCUCAACCCUCAGGCAGGUUAGAAAUCUCUCUUUUCUAUGCGUCGGACGUUUUGUUGUCGACAUUACAAUUUUAGAAAACGUCCUGAUGAGUAGGAACCUCGCUCUGGAGCCAGGAAAGUUAGGUUUGGAGCUGGCUGCCACUUACUAACUUGGGCAGGCCUGUUCCUGCUCUGUAAAGUGGAGAUAAUAGUGUUUUCCUCGGGGUUGUUGUGGGGAUUAUGUGUGUUAAUACACAUAAAGUGUUUAGUUGCAUACAGUAAGUGCUCUCUAAAUACUAGCUUUGUUACUGCACCCCACCCACACCCCCUCGUAAAUGAUAUGCCGCUUUGCCUGGGCUCUGGCAAGCCUCCCUCCGUUCUUACACUAAAUAUUCAACAGAUGUUGGAAGGAGCUAGUUCCUUGGUAUUUCAUGAGAAAACAGUAUCAUGGCUUUCUUAGGAGAACAUAAUAAAUCUUCACAAGUUUUCCAUCCAAACAUAAGCCUGGGAACUUUGAGCAGUACCUGCUGACCUUUUCUGUCUUUUUCUUUUUAAAAACACGGCCUUGUUUUUUAAGGUGACUGCCCACAGUGUCUCGCUGUUCCCCUCUAACAGUCACAAGCUAACACUGAAGGUCCAACAGCCCUCGUGUCCUCUUAGUGCUUCCAAAAAUCACAGCCUGAGGGCUACUGUGAAGAGGUUGUUUCUGCAACCUAGCCUUCCUGGAAUUUGAUUUAGAAGUAUGGUCUUCACGGCAUUAGCCAACAAUGUCAUGGUCACUCCCUGCGUCAUUCCCGGAGUGAAAAGCAACCCUAGGUUACCUAAACACUGUCAGUGUGGCUAAGAUCAAGUAAAUAUUUGUGUGUGUGUGUGUGUGUGUGUGUGUGUGUGUGCAUUCGUUCUGUUAUGUACAAAGCAGCACGUGUGUGGGUAAAUAUGCACAUGUGUGCACAGGUGUAUGGGCCCAAGGUGAACGUCAGGAAUCUUCCUCAGUUCCUCUCCACCUUAUUAUUUGAGACAGGGUCUCCCACUGAACCCAGAACACACAAACUCUUCUAGACUGUACGGUCAGUGAGCUCAGAGACUUGCCUGUCUCCGCUCCCCAGCACGCGAGUUACAAGCAUGCUAUCACAUUUGACUUGUUCAUGGGUGCUGGGGGUCCAAACCCAGGUCCUCCUGCACAGCAAGCACUUUGACCAACUGAGUCAUCUCCACCAUCACACCCGUGGCGAUAGUGUGCUGGGGAGUUUCAUGUUUAACUUGAUACAAGCUAAAGUCAUCUGAGAGGAGGCAACCUCAGUUAAGAACAUGCCUCCAUAAGAGCAGGCUGGAAGCAAGCCUGCAAGGUAUUUUCUUAAUUAGUGAUUGAUGAUGGCGGGCCCAGUCCAUUGAGAGUGAGACCAUCCCUGGGCUGAUGGUCCUGGGUUCUAUAAGAAAGCAGGCUGAGCAAGCCAUGAGGAGCAAGCCAGUAAACAGCUCAUCUCCCCGCCCUCUACAUCAACUCCUGCCUCCAGGUUCUUGCCCUGCUUGAGUUCCUGCCCUGAAUUCCUUUGAUGAUGAACAGUACCGUGGAAGUGUAAGCCAAAUAAACCCUCUCCUCCCCAAAUUACUUUUGGUCACGACAUUUCAUCAUAGGAAUAGUAACCCUAACUAUAUAGGGACAAAGAAAGUGUUGUGUGCAGUUUCUCUUCCUGUCCCAUUUUACACCUGAGUUUUAGGGGAUUGGAAAGGUGAGGAAGGAAGCCUAUGUUGUGUAGGAUUCAAAUGUUCAUUUUUCUUUCUCAGUAAUGUGAGUCUUUGGGAUUGUGUUCAGAACUCUUCUGUCUUGAGCCUUGUUAAGCUACCUCCUAAAUAAAAUACCAAACUUGAAAUAAA